UUAGUUUUAGCUUACUUUAAAUUUUUGAAAAAAAAGUUUUUUUAUUUAAAUUAUUUUUAAGAAUUAGUGUUUGUGUAUAGAAUAUAGAUAAAAUUUGUUUUGUGGUAGGUUAAUUGUAUUGUGAAAGGUUGUUUGAAAUAGUUUGAAAAUAUAUUGUUAAAAAAGUAGAUUUUUAAUCGUACCUUGUGUAUCAGGGUUUAUUAAAAAAAUUGUAAGUAUUUAUAUUUUCCCGAUUUAAAGAGAGCUAAAUAAGUAUAAUAGUUAAUGUGGAAUAAUUAUUGUUAAUACUUAUUUAGUAAUGAAACGUUAUCCGUUCUUUAAGAUAUCUGGUUUUUCGAGAAAUGAAUUUAAUUCAGCCUUUAUGUUGUAUUAUUUAUUUAGUUUAAUAAUGUGUAAUAUAAGGGUAAUGCUUUGGGGGAUAAGCUCCAGGGUAGGUAUUAUAAUUAGAGAUAAUUUUUUUAAAUUUUGUAGGCUUAGAAUUAGCCAUCUAUUAAAGGAUGUUAUAAUUUAAUUUUUAAUAAAUUUAAUUUUUAAUAAAUUUAAGUUUUGUAUCGAAAUAAUGUAAUUAAUUUAUAGUUAUUUGUGAUAAUGAUAAAAUUAGUAUAUAAAUUGUUUAAAUUAUUUUAUAAAUGUUAGGUUACAUUAAGGAAUUAGGCAAAUUAGUGCUCGCCUGUUUAACAAAAACAUGUCUUCUUGAUUAUAAUUUGAAGUCUGACCUGCCCACUGAAUUUAAAUUUGAAGGGCCGCGGUAUUUUGACCGUGCAAAGGUAGCAUAAUCAUUAGUCUUUUAAUUGAAGGCUAGAAUGAAUGGUUGGACGAGGUACUGACUGUCUCGGUGUAAAUGAGAUUAGAAUUUAACUUUUAAGUUAAAAGGCUUAAAUAUGUUUAGAGGACGAGAAGACCCUAUAGAGCUUUAUAUCUUUAAUUUAUUAUUUGUUUAGAUAAAUUUUUAUAAUAGAUGAUCAGAUAUUUUGUUGGGGUGACAGGAAGAUAAAUAAAACUCUUUUUAGUUUAUUUACAUUAAUUUAUGAAUUGUUGAUCCAUUAUUAUUGAUUAUAAGACUAAGUUACCUUAGGGAUAACAGCGUAAUCUUUUUCGAGAGUUCUUAUCGACAAAAAGGGUUGCGACCUCGAUGUUGGAUUAAGGGUAAUUUUGGGUGUAGAUGUUCAAAGUUUAGGUCUGUUCGACCUUUAAAUCCUUACAUGAUCUGAGUUCAGACCGGUGUAAGCCAGGUCGGUUUCUAUCCUUAAAUUAAUAAUGAUGCUUUAGUACGAAAGGACCAAGUAUUGGGAAAAUUUUUUCUUGACUGUUGAUUUAUAUUAACUUUUU
rnacentral:rRNA from 1 species